UACGAAGGGGGCUAGCGUUGCUCGGAAUCACUGGGCGUAAAGCGCACGUAGGCGGCCUCUUAAGUCGGUGGUGAAAUCCUGGAGCUCAACUCCAGAACUGCCUUCGAUACUGGGAGUCUCGAGUUCGGGAGAGGGGAGUGGAACUGCGAGUGUAGAGGUGAAAUUCGUAGAUAUUCGCAAGAACACCAGUGGCGAAGGCGGCUCACUGGCCCGAUACUGACGCUGAGGUGCGAAAGCGUGGGGAGCAAACAGG
rnacentral:rRNA from 1 species